CCUACGGGCGGCAGCAGUGGGGAAUAUUGCACAAUGGGCGCAAGCCUGAUGCAGCCAUGCCGCGUGUGUGAAGAAGGCCUUCGGGUUGUAAAGCACUUUCAGCGGGGAGGAAGGCGGUGAGGUUAAUAACCUCAUCGAUUGACGUUACCCGCAGAAGAAGCACCGGCUAACUCCGUGCCAGCAGCCGCGGUAAUACGGAGGGUGCAAGCGUUAAUCGGAAUUACUGGGCGUAAAGCGCACGCAGGCGGUCUGUCAAGUCGGAUGUGAAAUCCCCGGGCUCAACCUGGGAACUGCAUUCGAAACUGGCAGGCUAGAGUCUUGUAGAGGGGGGUAGAAUUCCAGGGGUAGCGGGGAAAUGCGUAGAGAUCUGGAGGAAUACCGGUGGCGAAGGCGGCCCCCUGGACAAAGACUGACGCUCAGGUGCGAAAGCGUGGGGAGCAAACAGGAUUAGAUACCCCGGUAAUC
rnacentral:rRNA from 1 species